rnacentral:rRNA from 1 species
CAGUGAUAAAGGAGGUGGGGGUGCAAAGACAGCGAGGAGGUUUGCCUAGAAGCAGCCACCCUUUAAAGAGUGCGUAAUAGCUCACUGAUCGAGCGCCCUUGCGCUGAAGAUGAACGGGGCUAAGCGAUCUGCCGAAGCUGUGGGAUGUCAAAAUGCAUCGGUAGGGGAGCGUUCCGCCUUAGAGGGAAGCAACCGCGAAAGCGGGGGUCGAUGAAGCGGAAGCGAGAAUGUCGGCUUGAGUAACGAAAACAUUGGUGAGAAUCCAAUGCCCCGAAAACCCAAGGUUUCCUCUGCAAGGUUCGUCCACAGAGGGUGAGUCAGGGCCUAAGAUCAGGCCGAAAGGCGUAGUCGAUGGACAACAU